rnacentral:rRNA from 1 species
UACGAAGGGGGCUAGCGUUGUUCGGAUUUACUGGGCGUAAAGCGCAUGUAGGCGGGCCGAUAAGUUGGGGGUGAAAGCCCGGAGCUCAACUCCGGAACUGCCUUCAAAACUGCCGGCCUGGAGCAGAUGAGAGGCGAGUGGAAUUCCGAGUGUAGAGGUGAAAUUCGUAGAUAUUCGGAGGAACACCAGUGGCGAAGGCGACUCGCUGGCAUCUUGCUGACGCUGAGAUGCGAAAGCGUGGGGAGCAAACAGG